rnacentral:rRNA from 1 species
GUUGAACGCUGGCGGCAGGCCUAACACAUGCAAGUCGAGCGCGCGGCGGACUGGUGGGUAAUGUAUGUACACCUGCCUGAUGGCCGGGUAUAACUCCUGUAAACGGUAGCUAAUACCGCAUACCAUCCGAUCUUCCCAGAUGGGAUUAGCUAGUAGGUGGGGUAAUGGCUCACCUAGGAGACGAUCCCUAGCUGGUCUGAGAGGAUGAACAGCCACACUGGAACGGAUACACGGCCCAGACUCCUACGGGAGGCAGCAGUGGGGAAUAUUGCACAAUGGGCGCAAGCCUGAUGCAGCCAUGCCGCGUGUGUGAAGAAGGUCUUCGGAUUGUAAAGCACUGUAAGUUGGGAGGCGUUACCUACAGAAUAAGCACCGGCUAACUCCGUGCCAGCAGCCGCGGUAAUAC